rnacentral:lncRNA from 1 species
UUCUGGUCGACAUAUUCACAGAGAAAAGGGGGUUCUCCUUCUUGAACCCUAACUCAUAAUUUCCAUCAAAUUCCAAGGGGGAAAACGGAUUAGGAUCGAAACCAAGCUGAAUUCGUAAUCAACCAAGCUAGAGAAAUCACAAGGUAUGUUGAAUUUUGAUUUUGACUCUAAACAAGCUAGGUGGGAGCUUGGAAAGGAACGGGUCAAACGGAUGACGGAUGCGAAGAAUGUUUGCGCGGACGCGAAGUAA